UUACAAAGGGAGAUGCUGACA
rnacentral:piRNA from 1 species